AAGACCUUAGUAAAACCAUUACAUAGCCCUGUCAGAGCUAAAUCAUAGGACCUAACCCCUAUAGGCCUUA
rnacentral:tRNA from 1 species